rnacentral:lncRNA from 1 species
UGGCGAGCAGAGGGGCCCAAAGCUACCAGGGUCUUAAAAGGCCAAUUAAUGCCACUGGGGCCACAGUCAGGCCCCCACUGGCCUUUCACUGUCCCCUGGGGCCAUCCUUCAAUCCGCAUGGAAGUCUGAAAGCAUCUCCGUAGAGACGUCAGUCAGUCCCCUGGACAGAGAGUGCAGUGCGCCCCAGCUCUGGAGUGGGUCCGUCACUUGUCUGCGAGCUGGCCCGCCAGUCAUGAUGAGGCUCGGGUGUCUUCUCAUCAGGACAACCAAACAGCCACACCCCCAGCAGUGA